CCAACAUUCAGACCAACUUCAACUUCACAGUUUAGAAAUGGAAAAAUAAAUAUAAAUCAUAAGAUUACUAUAAGUGGUAUAGAUGGAUGUUUGAAGAUUUUCUUUCAAGUGGAGGUCCUUAUGGAAUGAUGGUGGGUACAGAAAUUUUUGGAAUUUUGUUGUGGGGUUCUACCUUAUUUGGUGAUUCUGAUUUGGCCGAGCAGCAAUUCAGUUGGUUUGCUGAAGCUAUUGACCUGAACAUGUAGGAUCUUGUUGCUCAGAAACAUAUAUCGUUAGCUGUCAUCCUUGUGAAGAUCGCCGAUGAGUGGAAGACAAGCCAUGGAGGUACUCUACCAUCUACUAGGGAAGGAAAAAAGAAUUCUAGGUUCACAAAUUUCUGUAUAUUUAAUCUGUUAGAUCUUAUUUCUUCUGGUUUAUGUCUGUGAGAUUAAGUUUAGUUGUUGGACACAUUUUAGGAACUUCUCAAAGCCAGGAUGGCUGCAAUGGAUGAAAACAUCUAUAAAGAAGCUAUUGAUGCCUCCUUUAAUUGAGGAAUCAAUAAGUUUGUCUUAGCAAUGAAUAUUUGAGGCACCUUGCCCUUUGUUCACGGUAAUUCAUUACUUCCUACAUAUUUGGCAAAGAACUUUGAUUGAUGUGAAACGAAGAGUUGGGAAAGCAUCCUUUGAAUGAUUUGGUAGACAGAUGUUUUAUAUUGUAGCUAACAUAAGUUGCUUAUGUAAGUUAUUUAUAUAAUCUUGGUGCAUGGAGGUCUGGCUGGCUAUAACUAAAGCUAGCACUGUUUGAGGGUGACUUCCAAAACAUCUUCUGCAAAUUUUACUUGGUCAAGUGUACAUUUUUGAAUGUUUUGUUUUGUUAUAAUUUUGGACUUCCGUUGUAAAUUGAAGACACAAUCCAGAGGAUAGUUCCAGUAUUACAUUAAAUUUUAGUAGAAUAUAAAUUGUAUAUUUUAUUGAUUUUA